rnacentral:miRNA from 1 species
AUGGCCUGUACUCUCACACU